rnacentral:rRNA from 1 species
AUUGAACGCUGGCGGCAUGCCUUACACAUGCAAGUCGAACGGCAGCACGGGGCAACCUGGUGGCGAGUGGCGAACGGGUGAGUAAUGCAUCGGAACGUACCUUUCAGUGGGGGAUAACGUAGCGAAAGUUACGCUAAUACCGCAUAUUCUGUGAGCAGGAAAGCAGGGGAUCGCAAGACCUUGCGCUGAUUGAGCGGCCGAAGUUAGAUUAGCUAGUUGGUGAGGUAAAGGCUCACCAAGGCGACGGUCUGUAGCGGGUCUGAGAGGAUGAUCCGCCACACUGGAACUGAGACACGGUCCAGACUCCUACGGGAGGCAGCAGUGGGGAAUUUUGGACAAUGGGGGCAACCCUGAUCCAGCCAUGCCGCGUGAGUGAAGAAGGCCUUCGGGUUGUAAAGCUCUUUCGGCCGGGAAGAAAUCGCACGGGCUAAUACCCUGUGUGGAUGACGGUACCGGAAUAAGAAGCACCGGCUAACUACGUGCCAGCCGCCGCCGUAAAAC